UAGAGUUUCAUGAAAACGUUCUAAGCUUGCCGAGUCAAAAACUGCCUUUCGACGGCAAGACACUAGGCAACUUCGUCCCAAUGCAGUACUGGAAAUUUCAAGGAGAGGGAAUUGUAGCAGUCUAGUGCAAAGUAAAGUGAAUUCAUGAACCGACUUGUCAUGUGAGUUUUAUUAUUAAGAACUCAUUGUAUGAGAAAAAAAGAGGGAAUCGUUUCGUUAAUGGGUUUUUUAAGGGGUUCGUUCAUCUCCAAUUUACAAGUUUAUGGGUCACUUGACAUUUUCUCUACUUUAACAAAAACUGCUACGGUUCCUCAAUUCCCUGUUGAUUGAUAACGGAUAUGAACAUAGAGUUGUUGAUAUCAGAGUAAAGUAUUUUAAGCGAUCUCGGUUAUAUACUAAAACAUUGGGAAAUCUUCCUAUUUUGAAAGCCAGCAAACCAGCUUCAUUUUAACUAUGUCUUUCCAACCAGCGAUGUAGGAAAGCUUGGUAACUUUAACUCUCGCAAAGUGUCGAUAAGUUUGCGUAACGAGUUGACUGUUUUAUCUCGCUUAUAAAGGUUAAAACAUUUCUACAAUAAUAGACCGUGCUACGAAACAGUAAAAUUAUGUGUUUGUAAAAAAUACUUAUGGUAAUAGGUUCAACCGAGCUCCCUCCAGCACAUAAAAUUCAUCGUUAUAUGAAUAGCCAAACUUCAUCUCGUUUUUUCCCCUAUGAUCAAAUUUUGUCGAACAGGAAAAAGUUGAGUCGCUUUACAUUACAGAAAUUUCGAUAUUAUCGCAUGUCACGCCAUUGAAUUUUUGGCAUUACUAUUGCACCCCGAAAGCUGCACUCAGUCUGACCAAAAUCUUAACGGUCACAGGGGCGAAAUACAAUAUACAGCAAUCGGGUGCAGCGAAAUCACCUAUCGUAGUCCAUCGGUACUCUAUCCUUGUUAAUGAAGUAGAAGGCUGGUAUCGAUAAAAUAUGUUUUCGAGAUGGGCCGAGAGUUCGUUAAAAAAAUGAAAAAUUUAAAUGGGUUGGAUAUUCUAGCAGUCGAUUAUUGGCUUUCUUUUCUUUUCUUCCUUUAAAUAUUAUUAUUAUUAAUACUCUUUAAUCAAUUGCCUCUCUUUUUCUAGAGUUUCCUUUUUUUCUGGCUUACUUUUUCGCAUUCUGCCAAGGUGCCCUAUUAAACAAAAGGUAAUCAAUAGUACCCUUCUAAUGCAAGAAAAAAGUCUCCAAUUCGCUUUUCCCCCUUUGCAAUAUCAGUAAGCAAAUAACUCCAUCCAAGCUCAUUAGAUGGGAUAGCACAUACACACAUGCUACAAACCUUCAAUUUUACCCGUUUACCCGACUUUCCAGCAGCACAUAGAAGAUGGACAAGGGGCAUGGCAAAUGUGCAUGCAUAUGGCAAACAAAUAUGUGCAAAAUGACAUUAUUAAACGAUCAUAGCAGUUCGAAAUGGACUUGGUAAAACAGUCAACUCUUGGCUGUUAAGGAGGAAUAGUAAGUUAUCAGUUUAAGCCACAGUAUGUAUGGUAUGGGAAAAAACAUCGGAAAUUUGGAUAGAAAAAGUAUUAUGAGUGAGAUGAAAAAACUCUUAGAGGAAGUGUUUUGAGUCGGAAUAUUUAUGAUAAGUAUUGAUGUUGAACAGUUUUUCAUUUAAA
rnacentral:lncRNA from 1 species